UAUAAUUUGCAUAGAUUUACAAGGAAAAAGAAGGAUCACAGAUCUCAACAAUUUAAGACCCUGUUUCCCUCAUCGCCAACGGCCUUCCAAAACCCUCAACUCCUUCGAGUGAGAAGCAACGGCGCCCUCGACUCCCACCUACAUCCGUGAGAGCAAAACCAACGGUGGACUCUGCAACUUUGAUACCUGCGCAGCGAAAAAAAAAAGAAAACUAAAGAUACAGUUUAUAUAAUCUAGAGCAACAAAAGAGGGAAGAGCAACGCCCCAACCGAAUGAUCUUGCCGGAUCAAACAAUGGACUUCUUUUUACCCCUACAGAAACAGAUAAGUCAAGUGAUGGAUUUGCUAGACAAUGUGGGAAUAUUUCCAUGGACAUGGUUGAAUUACCUUCUGCCAUGAUGUUGUCAAGUUGCACCCUGAUGGGCAGCUCCAAUCCUGUGCAAAGCAAUGUCAACAUAGUCUGGAAUGCUACUGGCAUCAUGUUGUUGGUAAGGCCUAGAUGCCAAGAUAUACAUCGUCUGUAUAUUUUUGUCUAUUACCAAAUAUCUGAAACGAAUGAUAUGAACUAAUUCUCUUCUGCAUGGCUCUAUUUUUGCCCAUCUAUUUUGUGUUGGAUGCUUUUAAUUUCUUUUCUAGGUAAUUAUUACUUAAGAUUGAUUCUCUUC